AGGAGCAGAAAGCAUUGAUUUUUAUUUGAUCUAAUUUCACCGGUUUCUCAUUCGGAAUGUUAAGCCUUAAGUGUUGUUGUGAAUUUCAUUCCAAGAAGGGGAGGGAUUCAAUUGUUGAUUUCGAUGUGUCAAAUCGAUAAAUGCAAAACGCUGUGAAAUACUUUCUCUCCAAUACUAAGCAUGGAUAUUAUUUUAACUGGUUUGGAAACACAACUCAGCCGCGCAGAUUUUUCCUUUCAAGCCAAGCGUGUGUUCGAACAGAGAGACAGAAAGGGGGAGAGUGUGUGACUGUGUGACUGUGUGUCUGUGUGUGUGUGUGUGUGUGUGUGUGUGAGUGCGUGCACAUCAUGUUUACACGUGUGCACCUGAGUGUGCAUGCUUUAUGCAUGUGGAGAGCUGACACCAAAUCAGUUCUUCAUCAAAGAGGAGGAUUAUUCUCUGCUCUGUUUCAUCAGCGAUCAGCUCGCUGGGGACCCGGAGCAGCCAGCAGGGUACUGAGCGUGCCUGUAUGCGGCGGCAGCCUCCGCCGCGCACCCCCAGAACACUCAAAAUGGAGGCUGCAUUAGCCAGCCCUGCCCAAACCCGGCCCUGGGGACACACUGUGUGCGAUGGCUUUCAUUCCAAUCGUUAUUCCAGCCUCUGAAUUGUAACAAGCUGCUAAUGGAAUUUUAAUUUGACACUUUUAAUGCCAAUUGGCCAUAUUAAAGCCAUAUUAUGUCAGAAAUGGCUGAGCACACUACGAAGAAUAAAUAUUUCAUAUGCACAUCCCAAGACAUUUAAUCAGUCAGAACAGCUAUUGCUUUCAGUCUAUGUAAUCCGCUGAACGAGAAACGAUUCAGAUAGAAAUAGGUUCCAUUUUAAUUGAUUCAAUUAUAGACUGGCAGGUGAAAUCAUUGGGUCCUAAUUGAAAGAGUGAACACUUGUGGAAAAUGAAGAGUUCAAAGACAAAGCAAACGGCAACUAGGCAACUAGCCAUUGUUGAAAAUUUAUCAUACAACUUACACGUUUCCAGCAACCUUAAAUGAUCAAGAUAUUGAAAAACCAGCAUACAAACCCUGUUCCCAGGACCAAGAUUGGAACCCAUGGCAUGACACCAUGGAAAAACGCUAUUGCUUAGCAAUAAGGGGUGUGUCGCAGUGAAGGGGGCGGAGUCCGCACUUACAUGUACUCCCGGUGGGCGGAGUGCACGGCGGCCGCGUUGCUAUAGCGCCAUAGUACGAUGAUGGAGGACAGCACGUCCAAGGUGGCAUCAAACUGGAAGGCAAACCGGCAGAAAAAGACAUCAAACAGGAUUUUUUAAUUGCCCUCAAUAGGCAAGGAAUAGCAGUCUCGCUGAACUUUUU